GUGGAUUAGAUACCCUGGUAGUCCACGCCCUAAACGAUGUCUACUAGUUGUUGGGUCUUAAUUGACUUAGUAACGCAGCUAACGCGUGAAGUAGACCGCCUGGGGAGUACGGUCGCAAGAUUAAAACUCAAAGGAAUUGACGGGGACCCGCACAAGCGGUGGAUGAUGUGGAUUAAUUCGAUGCAACGCGAAAAACCUUACCUACCCUUGACAUGUCAGGAAUCCUCGAGAGAUCGGGGAGUGCCCGAAAGGGAACCUGAACACAGGUGCUGCACGGCUGUCGUCAGCU
rnacentral:rRNA from 1 species